GGUCGGGGACAGGGUGACAGGUGGUGCAUGGUUGUCGUCAGCUCGUGUCGUGAGAUGUUGGGUUAAGUCCCGCAACGAGCGCAACCCUUGUCUUUAGUUGCCAUCAUUUAGUUGGGCACUCUAAAGAGACUGCCGGUGUCAAACCGGAGGAAGGUGUGGAUGACGUCAAGUCCUCAUGGCCUUUAUGACCAGGGCUACACACGUACUACAAUGGCCGGUACAAAGGGCAGCCACUUAGCGAUAAGGAGCCAAUCCCGUAAAGCCGGUCUCAGUCCGGAUUGGAGUCUGCAACUCGACUCCAUGAAGUUGGAAUCGCUAGUAAUCGCAGAUCAGCACGCUGCGGUGAAUACGUUCCCGGGCCUU
rnacentral:rRNA from 1 species